GCAAACCUCUUUAAACAAUUUUCUCAAGACCUGUCGUUAAACAAAGCUAUAGAAUUGUGAAUGAAAUGAGAAAAUGUUUAAUAUUUUGUGUGUUAAUAUCGGCAAAACUAUACGUAUUAACGAGAAAUUACAGUCCAGGGCUUUGAAAAACAAGUACGCCAAGCAGUAUUUGACCUUGAACAGCCUUCUACAUCUAGUGGCGCAUCAGGACAGUACACUGAAGUUCGCCAAGCUGUAUUUGACCUUGAACAGCCUUCUACAUCUACUACUGGUGCUCCAGGGCAGAACACUGAAGUACGCCAAGCUUUAUUUGAUCUUGAACAGCCUUCUACAUCUACUGGCGCUCCCGGACAGAACACUGGAUCACGUUUGGAAGUAGUACGGUAUAUUGAGAAGCCUCCUUGGGACUUUAGUAAAAGAAGAAAAACUCAAACUCCAAGACCGUACUGCAACUCCAUAAACUGUGUUAUGAGUGAUACUUGGCGGCCAAGUUAUACUAUGAGCCCAGAAACAUGUAAUAACAUACACAACCAAAUUAUUGAACGCUCAUCAGAGUUUGGCUAUGACAACCAACCCUCUACAUCUACAAGUGCUGUACCAGUGUACGAUGAUAUGAACACAGCUGACCUUGGUUCUUGCAAGUGCGUGUAUUCGACUUCGGAGAGCAGUUUCGAAACUCAAUCAUCCACAAGCUCCGAUUGGGACAGUACACUAUGCAGAUAUGUUGGAAGAGACAAAUCUGAUAGUAUGGAAGACAGCGAUGAAGAGGUGAUAAAAUUAUGGGAAGAAAGUGAGAAGAAUAAGAAGGUAAAGGAGGGUGAUAAAAUUAAGGAACAUGACAAUGGUGAGGACACUGAUAAUGACGAUGAUAAUGCUGUCAACAAACCAAAAGUAAAUUUUUUUGACGACAUCAACUGGGACAGCUCAAGUGAUGAAGAUCAAGGAAGUUCAAGUUUAAGAGUUUCAAAUAAACCAGACGAGACUCUAGCAAGACCUCCUAGGAAGAGAGAAUUGGACUCUAGCAAGACCCAGACAAUGAAAAAUUUGACAAAGAAACUGAAGAAAAUGUAAUGACUUGUCUCUUGCUUCAGCGUUUCAAUGUGAUCACUUUGCUCUUCAUUAUUUUGCUCAUUUUUUUUCAGGCUAUGGUUAAUAAUUUUCGUAGUUCCACUUGCAUCGGGAAAGAAUUCUCCUUCACCAACCUGAGGAAGAACCAGAUAGAAGACUUCAAUGAACAUUUUAAUGUCAACCAAAAAACCCACUGUUCUUAACUUUUCAACCCAAAAACAAAAACCCUUAAAAAGUGGGUAGUCAACCCAAUACCUUUUUUUCAACUUCUGAGGCCUCCUGAGUUGUUAAAAGGAUUUUCAUUAUAAUUUAAAGUAUUUUUUUUUUACAUUUGUAAUUACAUACUUAUCUUCUAAAAUUUUGAAUGCAUAUAUUGUAAAAAUGAAUUUAAUAUGUUACAGAGAGAAAUGUGAAGUGACUGCACAAUUUUUGCAACUGUCAUUUUUAAGAGAGUCUUAGUAAAAGAGUACAUGUUACCUAAUCUGUAAGUAAGUUGUCUACAUUCCAGUUAAGUUUAGCCACUUGAUACGUGCAACUCUGGAUGCUUAUAAUGUGGCCUUGUGUUUAACAAUAUUGUAAUUUAGUCAAACUUUAAACUUUGUAUUUUAAAAAGUGGGUAAUUAAGUUCAAAAAGAAAACAGUAUUGCUCAAUGUUUUUUGUACAUAAAUUCAUGGACUCUUUAAAACAAAGAAGUAUAUCUGAAUGAUAUCCUGAAACAGUCUAAUUUUUCACAUUUUGUGAGUUAGUGUUAGAUCAAACAUUUGUGUUUUUAUUGAUGUCUAAAAUAUGUCCCUGUUUUUUGUUGUUAAAAAAGUAAGUAUUUUGAUAGGUAUAGUAUUUUUAUAUUUUGUGUGUUAGUGUUCUGUAGAUGUUAAAUAUUUUUAUGAAUUUGACAAAUAUUGUAAAAUUUUAUAAUUCGGCCACAGCAUGUUGUAGUUGAUUAGAAAUUAAUGUAGCACUGGCAUAGCAUUGUGUGUUGCUAAACAACAACAAAAAAAUAUAGUUCCUUAGUAAUCUUAACUGUCAUGUUUAGAAUAAGAUUUGUGUUCAUAUGUUUUUAACAUAUUUUUAUAAUCAGUUAUAUAAAAUUUAAUUUCCCUAAAUUAAAACUUAACACAUUUAAGGUGUAUUUAUGUACCAAGUAACUAUGGUGUUCACUCUUAUUUUCUUUUGGUGAGACUUUCCUUUGCAUUGGCACUACCCAGGGUUGCCACAAAGUUUUAAGAACUGGGAUGAGUGAGAGCAAAUUAAAAUUAGUAUUAUCAACAAAAGUCGGAGAAGUCAUAAAACACAAAAUAGUUCUGAAAUUUUUUUGGGUGCACCAGUGAUGUGUGCUACUUGUCAGCUUACUGUUCUUAGUUAAGAUUGCCUCUUUUUCUUUUAUUACAUGUUUGCAUAAUAUAAUAGUGUCUGUUCUCCCUAUUCCCAUCCUGCUUUACAGACUAAAUCAUCUCUGAGUCCUUCUUUACCGAUCGCCUUCUACAGAGCACCAAAAAAAAGUUUUGACAUCAAGCAUUACAUUAAUUUUAGCAAUAAUUAUAUGCAAUAUCAAUUUUUAGAAAUAAACAUUUUGAAAAUAAAAUUAUACCAUAGAAUAUUUACACGACAGACCUAGCAUUUUCAUUCAGAGAGUUCACUCAGUUUUCUGCAUUUCAUGAGUUACCAAUAAUUAAAAUUGUAGCCUAAUCAAUCAUUCUAAUACAGAAAAUUGAAUAAACUGUUCUUUCGAAAUGGUAAUAAUUGUAUGUGUCUUUUUCAAGCACUGGCCCCAACUUAAUGCCCAAAUAGCCCCGAACUAUGUACAUCACAAUGGUAAUCAAGCAAGCAUUAGCUCACAUCCUGACAAUAAAAAACCAGGGGGGAGGGGGGUUGAAGCUUACCAAUCCUACCACAGCGAACACGUAUGACUACCCUCUCUACUAGAGGUUUUAACCUACUUAUUGCCAAAAUUUACAUUAGGUAUAUUAUCUAAUUGGAACAAUUAUGUGCAAAUAACAAUGAAUGUUUGGUAAUUUUAAGUUUUAUAUAAUAUGUGGGUUGUAUAUCCUAUAUGUGUAUAGUCUUGUUAAGUUUUUAUAGUUUUGUCAUACAGAUAGUAACAAAUAGUUCCUAGUAUAUCAGAAAAACGUAAGAAUAAAGUGUUGCUAAACAACAACAAAAAUAUAGUUUUU